rnacentral:rRNA from 1 species
UACGGAGGGUGCGAGCGUUGUCCGGAAUCACUGGGCGUAAAGGGCGCGUAGGCGGCGCGGAUAGUCGGCGGUGAAAGCCCGGAGCUCAACUCCGGGUCGGCCGUCGAUACUUCCGGGCUUGAGCACUGUAGAGGCAGAUGGAAUUCCGGGUGUAGCGGUGGAAUGCGUAGAGAUCCGGAAGACACCGGUGGCGAAGGCGGUCUGCUGGGCAGUUGCUGACGCUGAUGCGCGACAGCGUGGGGAGCAAACAGG